CUGGCAGGGGCCGGCCUGCUAUACAUGCAAGUCGAGCGAAUCGAUGGGAGCUUGCUCCCUGAGAUUAGCGGCGGACGGGUGAGUAACACGUGGGCAACCUGCCUAUAAGACUGGGAUAACUUCGGGAAACCGGAGCUAAUACCGGAUACGUUCUUUUCUCGCAUGAGAGAAGAUGGAAAGACGGUUUACGCUGUCACUUAUAGAUGGGCCCGCGGCGCAUUAGCUAGUUGGUGAGGUAAUGGCUCACCAAGGCGACGAUGCGUAGCCGACCUGAGAGGGUGAUCGGCCACACUGGGACUGAGACACGGCCCAGACUCCUACGGGAGGCAGCAGUAGGGAAUCUUCCGCAAUGGACGAAAGUCUGACGGAGCAACGCCGCGUGAACGAAGAAGGCCUUCGGGUCGUAAAGUUCUGUUGUUAGGGAAGAACAAGUACCAGAGUAACUGCUGGUACCUUGACGGUACCUAACCAGAAAGCCACGGCUAACUACGUGCCAGCAGCCGCGGUAAUACGUAGGUGGCAAGCGUUGUCCGGAAUUAUUGGGCGUAAAGCGCGCGCAGGUGGUUCCUUAAGUCUGAUGUGAAAGCCCACGGCUCAACCGUGGAGGGUCAUUGGAAACUGGGGAACUUGAGUGCAGAAGAGGAAAGUGGAAUUCCAAGUGUAGCGGUGAAAUGCGUAGAGAUUUUGGAGGAACACCAGUGGCGAAGGCGACUUUCUGGUCUGUAACUGACACUGAGGCGCGAAAGCGUGGGGGAGCAAACAGG
rnacentral:rRNA from 1 species